rnacentral:rRNA from 1 species
GAUGAACGCUGGCGGCGUGCCUAAUACAUGCAAGUCGAGCGAACAGACGAGGAGCUUGCUCCUCUGACGUUAGCGGCGGACGGGUGAGUAACACGUGGAUAACCUACCUAUAAGACUGGGAUAACUUCGGGAAACCGGAGCUAAUACCGGAUAAUAUAUUGAACCGCAUGGUUCAAUAGUGAAAGACGGUUUUGCUGGUACUUAUAGAUGGAUCCGCGGCGCAUUAGCUAGUUGGUAAGGUAACGGCUACCAAGGCAGCGAUGCGUAGCCGACCUGAGAGGGUGAUCGGCCACACUGGAACUGAGACACGGUCCAGACUCCUACGGGAGGCAGCAGUAGGGAAUCUUCCGCAAUGGGCGAAAGCCUGACGGAGCAACGCCGCGUGAGUGAUGAAGGUCUUCGGAUCGUAAAACUCUGUUAUUAGGGGAGAACAAAUGUGUAAGUAACUAUGCACGUCUUGACGGUACCUAAUCAGAAAGCCACGGCUAACUACGUGCCAGCCGCCGCCGUAA